GCCUUGGUGGUGUAAUGGUAGAGCGCGCGUCCCCGGAUAGGACGACGCGGGUUCGAUUCCCGACUGAGGCC